rnacentral:misc_RNA from 1 species
CCAAUAGCGUAUAUUAAAGUUGUUGCAGUUAAAAAGCUCGUAGUUGAAUUUCGGGAUUGACACAUCGGUCGUGCCUUAAGGGGUGUGAACUGGUGUAGUCAAUUUCUCACCUUCUGGAGAACCGCGAUGUCCUUAAUUGGGUGCUGCGAGGAACCAGGACCUUUACUUUGAAAAAAUUAGAGUGUUUAAAGCAGGCAUUUUUGCUUGAAUACAUUAGCAUGGAAUAAUAAAAUAGGACGGCAUGAUUCUAUUUUGUUGGUUUCUAGGAUCACCGUAAUGAUUAAUAGGGAUAGUUGGGGGCAUUAGUAUUCAAUUGUCAGAGGUGAAAUUCUUGGAUUUAUUGAAGACUAACUACUGCGAAAGCAUUUGCCAAGGAUGUUUUCAUUAAUCAAGAACGAAAGUUAGGGGAUCGAAGACGAUCAGAUACCGUCGUAGUCUUAACCAUAAACUAUGCCGACUAGGAAUCAGACGAUGUUAAUUUUUUAAUGACUCGUUUGGCACCUUACG